UACGUAGGGUGCAAGCGUUGUCCGGAAUUAUUGGGCGUAAAGAGCUUGUAGGCGGUUUGUCGCGUCUGCUGUGAAAUUUCGGGGCUCAACCCCCGAACUUGCAGUGGGUACGGGCAGACUAGAGUGUGGUAGGGGGAGACUGGAAUUCCUGGUGUAGCGGUGAAAUGCGCAGAUAUCAGGAGGAACACCGAUGGCGAAGGCAGGUCUCUGGGCCAUAACUGACGCUGAGAAGCGAAAGCAUGGGGGAGCGAACAGG
rnacentral:rRNA from 1 species